ensembl:lncRNA
UUCUAUUCCUGUGACAAUGCCAUCGGCGGUGGCUUGACAGAAGGCCGUGUGACCUGCAUAAGCUGGCCAGUGCAAACAGUGGGAAAUAAGCUCUGACAAGAUCCGCCGGGGAAAACAUCGACACACUCUCACUGGAGAAGAACCGUCGCCGUGACUCACAGUGACAGGGUGAAGCCGGGAGCACCAUGUGACCUCUGAGGCCCCACCCACUGUUGCUCACUCGUCCUCAGUCACUUCCUGCCUGGCCUCUCCCCCCCGGUGGCGUAAGAGCACGCCGUGUCCACUAAACUCAGUGCUCUCCUCCACCAUCUGGACAGAGACGCACAGAGGGAGGAACUCUCAGACACGGGGUUGUCAAGGAGGAGUGUGUUCAGAGAAAAGCGGUCUGCAAUUUUUAAGUUUUUUGUUUUUAGUUUUUUUCAUUUUUUCGCUGCUAUAGCACAGUGCAAGUCCCUGGCUUGCCUCAUAUCUAUGCAAAGGCACACACA